UACGGGGGGAGCAAGCGUUGUUCGGAUUUACUGGGCGUAAAGGGCGCGUAGGCGGCGUAACAAGUCACUUGUGAAAUCUCCGGGCUUAACCCGGAGCGGCCAAGUGAUACUGUUGUGCUAGAGUGCGGAAGGGGCUACUGGAAUUCUCGGUGUAGCGGUGAAAUGCUUAGAUAUGACAUAGAACACCAAUUGCGAAGGCAGCUCGUUACACGAAUAUUGACUCUGAGGCUCGAAAGCGUGGGGAUCAAACAGG
rnacentral:rRNA from 1 species